rnacentral:rRNA from 1 species
UGGGGAAUAUUGCACAAUGGGCGCAAGCCUGAUGCAGCCAUGCCGCGUGUGUGAAGAAGGCCUUCGGGUUGUAAAGCACUUUCAGCGAGGAGGAAGGGUAGUGUGUUAAUAGCACAUUGCAUUGACGUUACUCGCAGAAGAAGCACCGGCUAACUCCGUACCAGCAGCCGCGGUAAUACGGAGGGUGCAAGCGUUAAUCGGAAUUACUGGGCGUAAAGCGCACGCAGGCGGUUUGUUAAGUCAGAUGUGAAAUCCCCGCGCUUAACGUGGGAACUGCAUUUGAAACUGGCAAGCUAGAGUCUUGUAGAGGGGGGUAGAAUUCCAGGUGUAGCGGUGAAAUGCGUAGAGAUCUGGAGGAAUACCGGUGGCGAAGGCGGCCCCCUGGACAAAGACUGACGCUCAGGUGCGAAAGCGUGGGGAGCAAACA